rfam:Methylococcaceae bacterium Sn10-6 c45, whole genome shotgun sequence.
AACCGCCGGAUGCGGAAAAUCGCACGUCCGGUGGUGUGGGAGGGAUAACGGGCGCAAUCCCGUUAUCUCCACCCAAU